CAGUAGCCGCGGUAAAACGGAGGGUGCAAGCGUUAAUCGGAAUUACUGGGCGUAAAGCGCACGCAGGCGGUUUGUUAAGUCAGAUGUGAAAUCCCCGAGCUUAACUUGGGAACUGCAUUUGAAACUGGCAAGCUAGAGUCUUGUAGAGGGGGGUAGAAUUCCAGGUGUAGCGGUGAAAUGCGUAGAGAUCUGGAGGAAUACCGGUGGCGAAGGCGGCCCCCUGGACAAAGACUGACGCUCAGGUGCGAAAGCGUGGGGAGCAAACAGGAUUAGAUACCCCAGUAGUCCCUGUCUCUUAUAA
rnacentral:rRNA from 1 species